rnacentral:misc_RNA from 1 species
AACGCACGAGACCUGCGGACCUGCGGAGGGAUCAUUACAGGAUUCGCCGUCCGUGGACUCUCGCGAGACCCGGUGGCAACAACCAGGCGCGAGUGCGCACUGCUCGGCCUUCCUGGGAGUCCCAGGAGGGUUCGGGCGGUCGCGUACUCGCGCCACCCUUUUUUCAUCAAACCCGUGAAGGCGAGGGAAAACGGACGUCGUCGGCACCUCGGAGUAACAUCCGGCGGGGCCACGCGACCG